GAACCUUCUGUUCUCUAUUUUAGCUGUGCCGGAGGAGGGUCCUUUGGAAUAGUUAGCUAAGCCAAAUUUCUCUGUUGCCCGGGAUCACUGCCAGUGAUCCCUUUUAGUUUCCCUGCCUCUAACAACAGUUUUUCAAUGUCUGCAGGAUCACAGUAUCGGCUCGGUUGGAGGCUCUCAUUUCCCCCCAUAUUCACAGUACGCUUUAAAUCUCCUCUCUGUAUAAUCAUCAAAAAGCUCGCCUUUUCUCAGAGAGACACGGGUCCAAUCGACCCAGGCAUCACCCAAUGCGUCCUCCACGUCUUGUUUAAAAUCAUUGAGCUUAAUCUGAUUGGUGCCUUGUUGGGCUGUUAUCCAAUCCCUGUCUGCUCUGUUACGCAUGUUAAUCCAAACCGAUGCUGGUACUUUAGUUUUCAUUCGUAUAUAUAGGUCAUGUGAAGUUAAAUCGUGCGGCUCCUCAAGUGCUUGUAACCUUUCCUAGAACUCUUUAUUGCAGGCAUUCCUCUGGGCUUUUAGGGGUUAAUCUAACAUCUGCUGGCCCUGCCAUUCUCUCUCUCCCCCCCUCCCCUUAUUCGGGGUUGUUUCAUGGGCUGUAACCGUUUGCGUUCUUACAGCUGCCGACUAAUGCCGAUAUCACCCAGCCUUAGCAAUGUUACGAAUCAACUUUUUACUUGCUACAUACAAGGAUCAACUGAAGUGCGCCUGCUCUAACCUAGGUGACAAAAUUAAACGGACUCACCCGCUUCGCAGUCGCAUUUCGGUGGUCCCAGGCGGAGUACCGUGCUCGCAGCGCCCAACUGUAGGAGUGACCUCGGUCUGAGGCAAGAGUACUCACAGGGCAGCCGGAACAGUGGUCUAUUCAAGCAGCGUCGAAUAUAGUAAGGAGAGAAACUCAAGAUCGUCAUACAGGACGAUCGAGCUCACUCUGCAGACUACCUGGGCAGCACUAUUUUUGUACUUUUUACACCAAGAUUAUUUACAUCUACAAACUGGUACCAUGCAAUUGAUUAUAUCAAGUCUAUCAGUCAAUUCACAAGUAGUUACAUAAAGUCUAAAAAUCAAUUGACUGGGCAAGUAAUUACUUCAAGCUUAAUUACAAAAUUAAUUACUACUAUAUAAUUCAAUUAACAAGGAAUUUUAAUUACAUCAAAUCGCUGUGCAUUUGAUAUCUACGAAUGAAAUUCAAACAUGUGGUGCUCAUUCGCUGAUA